rnacentral:rRNA from 1 species
UACGUAGGGGGCUAGCGUUGUCCGGAAUCAUUGGGCGUAAAGCGCGUGUAGGUGGCCAUGUAGGUCCGCUGUGAAAACUCGAGGCUCAACCUCGAGAUGUCAUCGGAAACCAUCUGGCUAGAGUCCGGAAGAGGAGAGUGGAAUUCCUGGUGUAGCGGUGAAAUGCGCAGAUAUCAGGAAGAACACCAAUGGCGAAAGCAGCUCUCUGGGACGGUACUGACGCUGAGACGCGAAAGCGUGGGGAGCGAACAGG